rnacentral:rRNA from 1 species
UGGCUUCGGCCAUAGUGGCGCACGGGUGCGUAACGCGUGGGAACCUGCCCUUAGGUUCGGAAUAACUCAGAGAAAUUUGAGCUAAUACCGGAUAAUGUCUUCGGACCAAAGAUUUAUCGCCUUUGGAUGGGCCCGCGUAGGAUUAGGUAGUUGGUGGGGUAAUGGCCUACCAAGCCGACGAUCCUUAGCUGGUCUGAGAGGAUGAUCAGCCACACUGGGACUGAGACACGGCCCAGACUCCUACGGGAGGCAGCAGUGGGGAAUAUUGGACAAUGGGGGAAACCCUGAUCCAGCAAUGCCGCGUGAGUGAUGAAGGCCUUAGGGUUGUAAAGCUCUUUUACCCGGGAUGAUAAUGACAGUACCGGGAGAAUAAGCUCCGGCUAACUCCGUGCCAGCAGCCGCGGUAAUACGGAGGGAGCUAGCGUUGUUCGGAAUUACUGGGCGUAAAGCGCACGUAGGCGGCGAUUCAAGUCAGAGGUGAAAGCCCGGGGCUCAACCCCGGAACUGCCUUUGAAACUAGAUUGCUAGAAUCCUGGAGAGGCGAGUGGAAUUCCGAGUGUAGAGGUGAAAUUCGUAGAUAUUCGGAAGAACACCAGUGGCGAAGGCGACCCGCUGGACAG